CGGUUGUGGUUAACUUCCGGGAAUCUCAACUGGUUGCACGGCAACCGCAACAGCGGAAACGUAUUUCCCAAAACUAUUCAGUUAGCUAACAUGUCAAAGGUUAAUGGGCUAACAGGGGGAACAUUGAGCAAUUUAACGCUUAGUUGAGGUAAAAAUGGCACAAAGUGUACUUUUAGAGCGACAUGACUCCGAUGUGGCUCAUGUACCUGCGUGCUAAUUAAGCGGAAGAGCUGUUAAAGAGCGGCUAAUGAGCGGAACUGCGGACCAACUGGGCCAAUGUUAAACAUGCUAAUCGUGUUCGUGGCCUCUCAGACUGGACAGCUUGAAAACCCACAGGGUGCUGGUAGGAGAUGAAGGCUCGGGGGAAUUCCAAACGCGUCACACAGCACCAGGCUCUGGGGCCCCGAGGUGCUCUAGGCUGCCAGGGAGCCUCAGGCCCACCUUAGCAACCGCAGAGGCCUUGUUGCCGAUAAACAGCAGUGGCAAGACAACCCACGACGGAAAAACAACAAACAAACAAAACAUUUCAUACAGUAUGGGACCGCUGACGCUAAUGUUUCAUCAGUGCGACAUCCUCGCCAUAACUGGCUCCUUCGAGGCAAAAACUGUCCGACUUACUUGGGGCCACGAGGAAAGCUCUGUUUACGUGGCUGCCAUGCUUAAAGUCAGACAGUUUGGUUUAUGGCCGCAGGAAGAGAUAGAGAUCAGAGGAGGUGUCAGCUGCUGAGUCGGCAGCCGAUUCCCCCUGGCUCCUCUUCCCUCUCUCCCAGGAACCCAACACCGAGCCUGGCCACCAGGGCCGAGCAGGAGAAUGUGAGGAAUUCUCUCAACACAUUUGCUCACUGCUUUGCACGUUCUCACCCCUUUGGGAUGUAAAGAGUGCCGCCGGCCCCGAGGAUGCGACCACCUUGCUCCACAGUGAGUGAACGCGAGGGUGGGCGAGAGGCGGCAAUGAGCGGAGGAUCAAGGCAAUUUGGCUGAUGGGAAGAGGAGAGCGUCAGGAAUGGCACACUGCUGAGAGAGUGAGUCAUCCUGGACUGAGCUGCUGUCAUUGGGCCAGCACAACAAAGAUCAGAUCAUUUAUUUUUGUCACGGCCCCUGCUGGAUGAAAUCUAAACCCCCAAGGAGUUGAUCAAAGGUUCUGGCAUGCCGCCUGUCCUGGAGAGCAGCUAAUAAAUAUGAUC